AGGAUGAACGCUGGCGGCGUGCCUAAUACAUGCAAGUCGAGCGAACGGACGAGAAGCUUGCUUCUCUGAUGUUAGCGGCGGACGGGUGAGUAACACGUGGAUAACCUACCUAUAAGACUGGGAUAACUUCGGGAAACCGGAGCUAAUACCGGAUAAUAUUUUGAACCGCAUGGUUCAAAAGUGAAAGACGGUCUUGCUGUCACUUAUAGAUGGAUCCGCGCUGCAUUAGCUAGUUGGUAAGGUAACGGCUUACCAAGGCAACGAUGCAUAGCCGACCUGAGAGGGUGAUCGGCCACACUGGAACUGAGACACGGUCCAGACUCCUACGGGAGGCAGCAGUAGGGAAUCUUCCGCAAUGGGCGAAAGCCUGACGGAGCAACGCCGCGUGAGUGAUGAAGGUCUUCGGAUCGUAAAACUCUGUUAUUAGGGAAGAACAUAUGUGUAAGUAACUGUGCACAUCUUGACGGUACCUAAUCAGAAAGCCACGGCUAACUACGUGCCAGCAGCCGCGGUAAUACGUAGGUGGCAAGCGUUAUCCGGAAUUAUUGGGCGUAAAGCGCGCGUAGGCGGUUUUUUAAGUCUGAUGUGAAAGCCCACGGCUCAACCGUGGAGGGUCAUUGGAAACUGGAAAACUUGAGUGCAGAAGAGGAAAGUGGAAUUCCAUGUGUAGCGGUGAAAUGCGCAGAGAUAUGGAGGAACACCAGUGGCGAGGGCGACUUUCUGGUCUGUAACUGACGCUGAUGUGCGAAAGCGUGGGGAUCAAACAGGAUUAGAUACCCUGGUAGUCCACGCCGUAAACGAUGAGUGCUAAGUGUUAGGGGGUUUCCGCCCCUUAGUGCUGCAGCUAACGCAUUAAGCACUCCGCCUGGGGAGUACGACCGCAAGGUUGAAACUCAAAGGAAUUGACGGGGACCCGCACAAGCGGUGGAGCAUGUGGUUUAAUUCGAAGCAACGCGAAGAACCUUACCAAAUCUUGACAUCCUUUGACAACUCUAGAGAUAGAGCUUUCCCCUUCGGGGGACAAAGUGACAGGUGGUGCAUGGUUGUCGUCAGCUCGUGUCGUGAGAUGUUGGGUUAAGUCCCGCAACGAGCGCAACCCUUAAGCUUAGUUGCCAUCAUUAAGUUGGGCACUCUAAGUUGACUGCCGGUGACAAACCGGAGGAAGGUGGGGAUGACGUCAAAUCAUCAUGCCCCUUAUGAUUUGGGCUACACACGUGCUACAAUGGACAAUACAAAGGGCAGCGAAACCGCGAGGUCAAGCAAAUCCCAUAAAGUUGUUCUCAGUUCGGAUUGUAGUCUGCAACUCGACUACAUGAAGCUGGAAUCGCUAGUAAUCGUAGAUCAGCAUGCUACGGUGAAUACGUUCCCGGGUCUUGUACACACCG
rnacentral:rRNA from 1 species